GGCCCAGUAGCUCAGCAGGAUAGAGCAGCGCUUUCCUAAAGCGAAGGUCGGGGGUUCGAGUCCCUCCUGGGCCGCCA
rnacentral:tRNA from 3 species